CUUGAAGAAACCCACCUGGAUCUGGUCACCAGUGACUCAGAAGCCCAACUGAUGGCGGAAGGCAGGAAGAUAAGCUGGACUCCUUGAAGCCGACACCCCCCAGGGAAAUUCCAUCACCCGCCUUGAGCACUGUAGACCGGGCUGGGCUGUCCCCCCUUGGAAGUAGGAAGCAGAGGGAAGACGGAGCCAGUGUCCUCCACCUGUUUGCAGACGCGCCUGUGCAGGAGGCAGGAGAGACUCCAAGCCCACUACCUACAGAGUCCUGGCUUCUCAAGUAAGGUUAAGUGCAGAGAAGGCACCAGAGUCCCUGGGAUCUGCUACUUUAACUGGGGAGACCUGUAAGUAACAUCGAAUUACUAGGUUCUCUAGUAAUCAUUUUCCCUCUGAAAAGAAUUCAAUGCCCAUAGGAGAUGGAGCUUCCGGUAGCCUGAAGCAGCCCAUCUGGGCCUGGAUGUUGUUUCGUGUGGAAGAUGGUAUUUGCAUCCUGGGGAAAGCAUCUUGGUGUCCAGGCUCUGGCUGUGGGGGUUAGGUGCCUGCAACACCCCCUCUCCCCUGUCAUCCCUCCUGAGCCAGGCAGGCCUUCAGCACUCCCUACCACUGAGACUAUAGACUGAGAAGUAACUCCCUGUCGCUGGGCCUCCAUGAUGUCGGUCUUCUGUACCUUACAGGCCUUGCCUCAGUGCUGCCCACCUUCAUGUCUGGGAGAGUCUUCAUUGAUUGCUGGGGACCAAAACCAACUUAGACUAGGGAUCCCAGUUCCAGCACCCAUGCCCAGGGCCCUUUCUUCCUUUAAAAUAGACGGCUGACUCUGGCCCUUCUUCACUGAUGGGCGAUGGCUUCCUGCACUGCUUUGUUUUCUUCUUCAUCCAAGUGUUGUCCUGUGAAUCUCAGAGUGUGGUCUUUGGACCAACGGCACCACCGUCACCUGUGAGCUUGUUGACUGCAAAUUCUCUGGUUCUACCCAAGACCUGCUGAAUCCGAGACUCUGGAGGCAUGGCCAUGCUAUCUGUAUUUUAACAAGCACUCCAGGGGAUUCACGGGCAUGCUUAAGUCUGAGAACCACUGGUGCAGUAUAUUACCUAGGAGCCCUGAGUAGGACACUUCAUUUAGUUUUCUGAUCCACACAAGGAGAACCCGUCCGGGCGCAUGAGGCUUGCGGGUACAGAGUGUGUCUUCCCAAGGAAGGCAGGCUACCUACCUCCCACGUGUCCGGCAUGUAACCCAUCAGCUGACUCCUGACAGUGCAGAGGCCAGAGGCCAGAC
rnacentral:lncRNA from 1 species